rnacentral:rRNA from 1 species
CCUACGGGUGGCAGCAGUGAGGAAUAUUGGUCAAUGGUCGGGAGACUGAACCAGCCAAGUCGCGUGAGGGAUGAAGGUACAGAGUAUCGUAAACCUCUUUUGUCAGGGAACAAAGGCGGGGACGUGUCCCCGGAUGAGUGUACCUGAAGAAAAAGCAUCGGCUAACUACGUGCCAGCAGCCGCGGUAAUCCGGAGGAUGCGAGCGUUAUCCGGAUUUAGUGGGUUUAAAGGGUGCGCAGGCGGUCUGGUAAGUCAGCGGUGAAAGCCCGGGGCUUAACCCCGGCACCGCCUUUGAAACUGGCAGUCUCGAGUUGGAGAGAGGUAGGCGGAAUGCGCGGUGUAGCGGUGAAAUGCAUAGAUAUCGCGCAGAACUCCGAUGGCGAAGGCAGCAUGCCGGCUCCACACUGACGCUGAGGCACGAAAGCGUGGGUAUCGAACAGGAUUAGAUACCCGAGUAGUC